rnacentral:rRNA from 1 species
GUAGCAAUACACGAGUGGCGCACGGGUGAGUAACGCGUGGGAACCUGCCCCGGAGUGGGGGAUAACCCGGCGAAAGCCGGGCUAAUACCGCAUACGACCCAAGGGUGAAAGAUUUAUCGCUCUGGGAGGGGCCCGCGUCGGAUUAGCUAGUUGGUGGGGUAAUGGCCUACCAAGGCAAUGAUCCGUAGCUGGUCUGAGAGGAUGAUCAGCCACACUGGGACUGAGACACGGCCCAGACUCCUACGGGAGGCAGCAGUGGGGAAUAUUGGACAAUGGGGGCAACCCUGAUCCAGCAAUGCCGCGUGGGUGAUGAAGGCCUUAGGG